ACCCGCUGAACUUAAGCAUAUUAAUAAGCGGAGGAAAAGAAACUAACUAGGAUUCCCCCAGUAACGGCGAGUGAAGCGGGAUGAGCUCAAGCUUAAAAUCUCUGUGUAAGUUUUACAUGGCGAAUUGUAGUCUAUAGAGGCGAUGUCAGUGCGACUGCGCGGGUUAAGUUCCUUGGAAGAGGACAGCAUCGAGGGUGAUACUCCCGUUUUUACCUGUGCAGUUGUGCGUACGACCCGUUUUCUUUGAGUCGCGUUGUUUGGGAAUGCAGCGCAAAGUAGGUGGUAAAUUCCAUCUAAAGCUAAAUAUUGGUGCGAGACCGAUAGCGAACAAGUACCGUGAGGGAAAGAUGAAAAGAACUUUGAAAAGAGAGUUAAAGAGUACCUGAAACUGCUGAAAGGGAAUCGAAUCGUUUCCAGUGUCUAUAAUCCGUGUCAUAUUUCAUUGGUGUGUUUGUGCGUGCUGUAUUUGAGAAGUGGUUCUCCUCUCUCUAUGUAGUUGUGCGUAAGCUCGCUGGUGCCCUGUGGCGCGGUGGGACGUCAGAGUCAGUUCGUACUGCGGGAAAUGGCUAUAGGGGAGGUAGGUCAUUUCGGUGACUGUUAUAUCCUUGUAGUUAGUGGUCGUGGUUGGGACUGAGGUGUCUACAAUGUGCUUUUGAGUGUUCAUUCGUUUUGUUGGUUUGUUUGUCUGGACAGCUUGCUGUGCUGGUGAAUACAUCUGAUGAUUAGCGUGUGUUCUAACUUGUUGCCAUUCGGGACUUUGACGAAAUGGAGCGAUCCGUCCCGUCUUGAAACACGG
rnacentral:rRNA from 2 species